CCUACGGGUGGCAGCAGUGAGGAAUAUUGGUCAAUGGGCGAGAGCCUGAACCAGCCAAGUAGCGUGAAGGAUGACUGCCCUACGGGUUGUAAACUUCUUUUAUAAGGGAAUAAAACGUUCCACGUGUGGGUUUUUGUAUGUACCUUAUGAAUAAGGAUCGGCUAACUCCGUGCCAGCAUCCGCGGUAAUACGGAGGAUCCGAGCGUUAUCCGGAUUUAUUGGGUUUAAAGGGAGCGUAGGUGGGUUGUUAAGUCAGUUGUGAAAGUUUGCGGCUCAACCGUAAAAUUGCAGUUGAUACUGGCAGUCUUGAGUACAGUUGAGGUAGGCGGAAUUCGUGGUGUAGCGGUGAAAUGCUUAGAUAGCACGAAGAACUCCGAUUGCGAAGGCAGUUCACUGGACUGCCACUGACACUGAUGCUCGAAAGUGUGGGUAUCAAACAGGAUUAGAUACCCGUGUAGUC
rnacentral:rRNA from 1 species